AACGAACGCUGGCGGCAUGCCUAACACAUGCAAGUCGAACGAACCCUUCGGGGUGAGUGGCGCACGGGUGCGUAACACGUGGGAACCUGCCCUUAGGUUCGGAAUAACACAGAGAAAUUUGUGCUAAUACCGGAUAAUGUCUUCGGACCAAAGAUUUAUCGCCUUUGGAUGGGCCCGCGUAGGAUUAGCUAGUUGGUGAGGUAAAGGCUCACCAAGGCGACGAUCCUUAGCUGGUCUUAGAGGAUGAUCAGCCACACUGGGACUGAGACACGGCCCAGACUCCUACGGGAGGCAGCAGUGGGGAAUAUUGGACAAUGGGCGAAAGCCUGAUCCAGCAAUGCCGCGUGAGUGAUGAAGGCCUUAGGGUUGUAAAGCUCUUUUACCUGGGAUGAUAAUGACAGUACCAGGAGAAUAAGCCCCGGCUAACUCCGUGCCAGCCGCCGCGGUAACAC
rnacentral:rRNA from 1 species